rnacentral:pre_miRNA from 1 species
UGAUGGAAUGACUUCCAAAGGUCAUUUUUUCAUCAUAACAGAGAAUUGGUGAAAUAAUGACUUUGGAAUUUAAUCCUUU